GCCAGCCUGGUAUAGUGGUUGGAGUGUUGGACUAGGACUCUGGGAAACCAGGGUUCGAAUCCCUGCUUGGCC
rnacentral:tRNA from 1 species